AUUGAACGCUGGCGGCAUGCUUUACACAUGCAAGUCGAACGGUAACAGGCCUUCGGGUGCUGACGAGUGGCGAACGGGUGAGUAAUGCAUCGGAACGUGCCCAGCGGUGGGGGAUAACGCAGCGAAAGCUGUGCUAAUACCGCAUGUGAUCUGAGGAUGAAAGCGGGGGACCAGGCAGCAAUGUUUGGCCUCGCGCCUUUGGAGCGGCCGAUGUCAGAUUAGGUGGUUGGUGGGGUAAAGGCCUACCAAGCCGACGAUCUGUAGCUGGUCUGAGAGGACGGCCGGCCACACUGGGACUGAGACACGGCCCAGACUCCUACGGGAGGCAGCAGUGGGGAAUUUUGGACAAUGGGCGCAAGCCUGAUCCAGCAAGGCCGCGUGCGAGAAGAAGGCCUUCGGGUUGUAAACCGCUUUUGUACGGAACGAAAAGGCUCUGGCUAAUACCUGGGGCUGAUGACGGUACCGGAAGAAUAAGCACCGGCUAACUACGUG
rnacentral:rRNA from 1 species